UGAAAUGGAGGACAGCAAAAAAAUGAGAAAAAAAAGAAAAUAUAUGGAGCCCAUUUUUCACUACUUCUUGACGACGAAUUUACUGUGAUACAACAUUUUCUGGUAUCUGCUUGCAACUCAUUUGGUCAUAACAUUAAUAACAGGCUGAA
rnacentral:ribozyme from 12 species